rnacentral:rRNA from 1 species
UACGAAGGGGGCUAGCGUUGUUCGGAAUUACUGGGCGUAAAGCGCACGUAGGCGGAUUGUUAAGUUAGGGGUGAAAUCCCAGGGCUCAACCCUGGAACUGCCUUUAAUACUGGCAAUCUCGAGUCCGAGAGAGGUGAGUGGAAUUCCGAGUGUAGAGGUGAAAUUCGUAGAUAUUCGCAAGAACACCAGUGGCGAAGGCGGCUCACUGGCCCGGUACUGACGCUGAGGAGCGAAAGCGUGGGGAGCGAACAGG